GCCUCGUUGGCACAAUGGUCAGCGCGUGGGACUUUUAAUCCCAAGGUUGUGGGUUCGAGUCCCACACGAGGCG